rnacentral:rRNA from 1 species
GAUGAACGCUGGCGGCGUGCUUAACACAUGCAAGUCGAACGAAGCAUUUAGGACAGAUUACUUCGGUUUGAAGUUCUUUAUGACUGAGUGGCGGACGGGUGAGUAACGCGUGGGUAACCUGCCUUGUACUGGGGGAUAGCAGCUGGAAACGGCUGGUAAUACCGCAUAAGCGCACAAUGUUGCAUGACAUGGUGUGAAAAACUCCGGUGGUAUAAGAUGGACCCGCGUCUGAUUAGCUAGUUGGUGAGAUAACAGCCCACCAAGGCGACGAUCAGUAGCCGACGUGGGAGGGUGGCCGGCCACAUUGGGACUGAGACACGGCCCAGACUCCGACGGGAGGCAGCAGGGGGGAAUAUUGCAGAAUGGAGGAAAGUCUGAUGAAGCGACGCCGCGGGAGUGAAGAAGUAAUUCGUUAUGUAAAGCUCUAUCAGCAGGGAAGAUAGUGACGGUACCUGACGAAGAAGCUCCGGCUAAAUACGUG